UAAGAAGACAGUAAUGAUAAUGAGAAAUUAUGUAAAAUUUGUAGGACAGAAAAUAUUCUGGUGAAUUUAAGGAAAGUUUAAAAUUACAAGAUUAAGUCAGUCUCUAUUUUAAACACAUUGUCAUUAAGUAGGUUAUAUGAACAACCCAUUGCUAUUUCCCAUAUUUCAAUUUAACAGUUUCAAAUUUAACAAUUUAAAUAUAUAUGGCACCAACCACAUACAAAGCACUGAAUCAACAUGGGGAAUUAAAGGAGACAUGACAGAUAUGCUUCACAUGGUCUCUGGAUAACCUUAUGGAGAAGACUUACACCCAUGAUAUAAUUAUCAUUCACUCAGCAAACAUACAUCAUGUUACAUAUUGGGCUAGAUACUGAAAUAAGGAGACACAAAGCAUAGAUAUUAUCCUCCAAAAGCUCAUUAUCCAGAAAUAUGGAUAUGGAAUAAAACUGAAUAAAAUGCCAAAACGCAUGCUAGAAACAUAGGGUACUAAGUGUAGUUUAAGAUAAUUAUUUUAAAAGCAUCAAAUAGUAUUAAGCAUAUUUAAUAUAUAGAGAGUAAAACUUACUAAAUAUUAUACUAAUAUUUUCAUUGCUAAAUCAUCAGGAACAUCUGUUCAGUUUGUCAUUCAAUAAAAAUGGAUAUACAUUAGCAAAGGGAAAAGUCUAUCUGGACAGGGAAAUGAUAAACUGUUUAAGGAUGUGAAAAUGUAUUCAUCUCUGUAUGUAUCACAGUGCCAGAAAGAACCUUGUAAUUAGCAAACACAUAAAAUUUGUAGAGCAGAUAAACUCAAAGUGAAGAUCAGCUAAGGAGUUAUAUAGCAUAACCACCUUUCAUCUCCCCCUACCUCCUUCCAAAGAGAAAAAAGAAAAAGGAAAAAGAAUUCCUGGCUUUAGGGCACACAUUGUUGAGGAAGGCACCUGGCUUGUUGUUGGCACUUGGAAAUAUGCAUAUACUUGAUUCCCUUUUAUUAUUUCUGGUGUUUGUGAAGACGGCAUCUCAGAGAAACAGACCAACAGGUAUGUGAGAGCAGUGUAACAGAAAGGUUUCCAUCAAAGGAGCUGGACUUGAGAUAAACUUUAGGGAUUAGAGAUUGGAGGAUUUGGGGAAAAAAGUUGCUUUUAGUGACCUGUGUUUGGAGGACUUGCGUAAUUGUCUUUAGCUUCACCAGAUUUCAACAAGGUAACCCUACAGAUACGAAGAUUUCGUGUGAACUUAAAUUUCUGUAAAUACAUGUCAAUGAUAAUACCUACAUUUGUCAAAAAUUCCUUUUGCUAUGCAUUGUUCUGUUUACUUCAAAAUAUAUCCAGGACUAGGUACCAACGCUCUGCUGCCUAAUCAUGGUUUAAUCACUCUUUCUCAUGUAUAGUUAAAUUAACAACAAAGACUACUAAAGACUAUUUAUACUGUACUUGUGCCUGAAUCUGGGUAAUGUAUUGCUUAUUUUUUUUUUUUCAAAACUUAGCUUUUCAAUAUAUGGUCUUAUUAAUAUAUUGGAUGUUGCUAUUUAAAAAUCACCUUGGGCUUCCUGUUACAUGAAUUACCAGAACCACAGAAGCUGAGAGCCCAGCAGGUGGUAAACUGAAGUAAGAGAGAUACUGCUGGAGUUCCAAGGACAUUCCCUUAAGAGAAAUGCUUAUGAGUUUAGGAGCUCUCGUAAGAGAGUCAGGGAGAAAAAGAAGGAAGUGAGGCUUGUGUGUGUAUGCCUUAGAUAUGAUAGGUAUACACCUUACAGGAUCACUCCUCAUUUCUAAUUUAACAAGAUUGAUUCUGUUUGACAAAGACAAAGGCUUUAACAUUACCUAUUACUAUCAGCAAUGCAGUUAUAAAUGUCACUCCUAGUCAUUCAUUUUAUAGCCACUUUGAAAGGUCUAUCAGUUUACUCUGUAGAAACAUCCCAUUACACAUUGCAGAUACACAUUUAAAUCACUGAAGAACUUUACAAGAAAAAAUUGACAAACUAGUUAGAAAAAUUUUGUUUCAUUUCAAAUAAUGAAUAUCUACUAAAAUGUAAUUGUAAUUUUUACUUGGCUAUUACUUGAGAAAAUUUAGUAAUUUAUUUAAAUAUGAAACAAAUGAAUUUAUUUGUAUAUUGUAUUUACCUAAAAUAAAGACCACUAACUGGAAUAUAAGUAGAUAAUGCUUAUGUAGAACCAUUAUCUCACUCUCUUAAGACAAUUUAUAAACAUUUGAGAAAAAUAAUUGACGUUUCACAUCAUGCCAUAAUUCUGUCCAAAUAAUUUACAAUGUAAAUGUUAACGAAAUUGUGUUAAUGUGGUGCACGUAUAUCACUAUAAUGUAGGUUACUAUCUAAAGUCACAGGACUGAAAUUGACUUAAAUCUUACCAUACAGUCACAUUCUUAUAUUGUUGUAAGAACACUUAGACAAGUUAGUGGGGCAGACUCCAAGUUCUUUAAGUAUGCAUCAGAAAACACCACCUUAUUAAAUGCUUGCUUUACUUAUCAAUAUAAAUUUUCUAAUGUGAUUAUGCAAUAUAUGGUUAAAUAAAUUUGAAAUAACAUUAUCUCAUUUUCCAAACUGAUAAAGUGAAAUCUGUGAUAUUGAAAGUAUUUCUAUGACAAAUAUCUAAGGGAGAAUACAAACCUACCUACCUCAUAUUCAUUGCAAACAGCAGUUAUAUUUUGUAAGGUUCCAUUUGAGACUAAAAUAAAAUAUUAAAAUAAAGAUUUGCUAAAAUGCAAUAUUGUACUUUAUAAACUCCAGAAGCUAUAAUCUAUGAAUAUCUACUUUUAUAGGGAACAGUUAUAACUUGUGUAUGUGUGUGUAUGUGUGUGUGUGUGUGUGUGUGUGUGCGCGCGUGUUCAAUAUAAAGUUGUGACGUUAUAAACAAAAACUGCGGGAAAGCAUGAAGGUGCAGGGGGAGAGGAAGUAUCGUAUUGGCUGUGUAAUAUAGAGCAAGUUAUUUAAACUUGUCUAUGCACACUGUCAACUGUCAACUAAGAUUCAUCAGAGUCUGCUAUUCUAGUGACACACACAACUACACGUUUUACUUUAUCCGGAAGCAUUUUUUAUGUUAAUAUUUUCACUCUAUACAUUUUUAAGAUGAUACUUCAUUUCCAUAUUGAGGACUGGAGAAGACACCUGCCCCAUAUACCACAACCUUGGUUACAUGACCAGAGAUGAUUACCUUAGUCACAGGGAAACAAAACAAAACAAAACACCACCACCACACACAAUUAUACUCUGUUUAGCAAAUCUAAAUAUUGCAAAGAAAUUCUAACUUUCAAGAAAUCUAACACUUCAGAAUUACAACUAGAAAGAAGAAAUUUAACCUUCUAAAAACCUUACAAUUUGGUAUUUUACCAAUUGAGAAAUAAUAUCACAUCUGUACACUAACACAGUUCUAGUCUACCUUCAAGGCAGACAAAGAUUUCUGUGUUCAUCUCUGCCUCUGGCUGUAUUUGCUGGCCACUUGCCAUAGUAAGAAUGGUAAUACACAACAUGAACAUUCAAGACCAGGAUUAGAAGUAAAAAGUGCAUCACAGACUAGCUACCACAUCACAGUUACCAUCUGACAAUAUUGCCCAGUGCUGAACAAAAAUCAUCAAUUUGGAAGCAACAUGUUCCAUAAGACAUUACCAGAUUCCUGAGUGAGCGAGCCAGGAUUUCAUAUUCUUUUUGGCUUAAACAUCAUAUUACCGAAGUACAACUUUAUGUGUUUGAGACCAAUGGGUCAAAAUCCACUUUUGAUUAUUUAAGGUCAUUCUUUCAAUAACAAAGGAAAAAAACUCUAUGCAUUUAAUAGGAUUUUAAAUGUUUUCAAUUUAAGAAUGGGUUUAUUUGUGCUAGUCUUUAGUAAUCUUCAUAGCCACAUUUUUACUUCAUCAACAAUCAUCUCAGACACACUUUCUAACAAGACUGACUUAAAAUAUUACGACAGGAAACUAUGCCUUCAGGAGCAUGUUUAUUGUGUUUGAGAUGAUACAUCAGGUGCUCUCUGAGCUACAAAGGGUAAAAGGAAA
rnacentral:lncRNA from 10 species